GGAUCUUAAGCUGGCCUACUCAUCCUUUCCUCGCAGUGAGUGUGUUUUCAAUUUUUAAAGUCCCCAUCUCAUUGCUCUCAUCGUUGUCGCUGCUCGCCACUUUGAAGUCAUUGCCACUGCUGCUUAGAUUGAACUGUGGGAAGUUGCUGAUAUAAGGAAGUCAUUAAGAUAGAGAUUCAGUAAUUCCCCCAAUUCGAAUCCCUAAAAAUGGCCACUGCCUCCAUUCGCUCUGCUGUCUGUACAGGGCGCCGCUUCUUCUCUUAUAUUGCCAACAGCAGCCAUAACAAUACCCAUAAAAACACGCAUAAAUUCUUGGAGCAUAACUCCUUCAUUGGUAGCUGGAAAGCGCCAAAGAACCCAAAAGAAGCGGAGGCGAAACUAACACGAUUGAGGAGGGUUUAUGCGAAGCAAGUGAAGGAGGUGCGGAA
rnacentral:misc_RNA from 1 species